CAUACUGGUUUGUACUGGGAGGGACUGGGAGAGGUUAAAAAGGGGAUUUGGGGUUACUGGUUUAUACUGGUUUAUACUGGUUUAUACUGGUUUAUACUGGUUUGUACUGGUCUGUACUGGUUUAUACUGGUUUGUACUGGUUUAUACUGGUCAGACGCCCCCGUGGUGAGCGCCGGCCCCUCCCCCGUGGUGGUUCCGGAAGGUUCCGAGGCCGUGCUGGGGCUGUCGGUGCGAGCCCAUCCCCCCCCCGAGGGCUGCGCCUGGAGCACCGCGGGGCGGGGCAUCAACCCGGAGGGCUCCCCGCGCUUCCGGUUGUCGCCGGCGGGCGCUCUCGUCAUCGCCAACGUCACGCGCGGCGACAGCGCCGCCUACCGGGUGUGGUGCGUCAACGCCGAGGGCGGGGCCGGCGCUGACGUCACGCUGCUGGUGCAGGGUACGGGAGGCCCCGAAAAAAACCCCGAAUUCACCCCAAAAUUGGCUUCAAAAUCCCCUUCCAAAUUCACCCGGAAUUACCCCAAAAUCACCCCGGAAUGAACGGAAAAUUGACGCGGAUGGAGCUGAAAUUACCUAAAAAUGAACCCAAAAUUCACCUGGAACGAACCAAAAAUGAUCCCAAAAAUUACCCCGAAAUUCACCUGGAAUGAACCCAAAAUUAUCCCGAAAUUCACCUGGAAUGAACCCAAAAAAUCACCCCAAAAUCAACUCAAAAUUCACCCCAA
rnacentral:lncRNA from 1 species